rnacentral:rRNA from 1 species
GGGAAGUAGCUUGCUACUUUGCCGGCGAGCGGCGGACGGGUGAGUAAUGUCUGGGAAACUGCCUGAUGGAGGGGGAUAACUACUGGAAACGGUAGCUAAUACCGCAUGACCUCGCAAGAGCAAAGUGGGGGACCUUCGGGCCUCACGCCAUCGGAUGUGCCCAGAUGGGAUUAGCUAGUAGGUGAGGUAAUGGCUCACCUAGGCGACGAUCCCUAGCUGGUCUGAGAGGAUGACCAGCCACACUGGAACUGAGACACGGUCCAGACUCCUACGGGAGGCAGCAGUGGGGAAUAUUGCACAAUGGGCGCAAGCCUGAUGCAGCCAUGCCGCGUGUGUGAAGAAGGCCUUAGGGUUGUAAAGCACUUUCAGCGAGGAGGAAGGGUUCAGUGUUAAUAGCACUGUGCAUUGACGUUACUCGCAGAAGAAGCACCGGCUAACACCGUGCCAGCAGCUGCGGUAAUACGGAGGGUGCAAGCGUUAAUCGGAAUUACUGGGCGUAAAGCGCACGCAGGCGGUUUGUUAAGUCAGAUGUGAAAUCCCCGAGCUUAACUUGGGAACUGCAUUUGAAACUGGCAAGCUAGAGUCUUGUAGAGGGGGGUAGAAUUCCAGGUGUAGCGGUGAAAUGCGUAGAGAUCUGGAGGAGUACCGGUGGCGAAGGCGGCCC